GGUUGAAUGGUGUAACGGUAGCACAUAAGAUUUUGAUCACUGAUAAAAGAUUCUUGUGACCUGGGUUCGACUCCCAGUUCGACCU